GACGAACGCUGGCGGCGUGCUUAACACAUGCAAGUCGAACGGAAAGGCCCUGCUUUUGUGGGGUGCUCGAGUGGCGAACGGGUGAGUAACACGUGAGUAACCUGCCCUUGACUUUGGGAUAACUUCAGGAAACUGGGGCUAAUACCGGAUAGGAGCUCCUGCUGCAUGGUGGGGGUUGGAAAGUUUCGGCGGUUGGGGAUGGACUCGCGGCUUAUCAGCUUGUUGGGGGGGUAGUGGCUUACCAAGGCUUUGACGGGUAGCCGGCCUGAGAGGGUGACCGGCCACAAUGGGACUGAGAGACGGCCCAGACGCCUACGGGAGGCAGCAGUGGGGAAUAUUGCACAAUGGGCGGAAGCCUGAUGCAGCAACGCCGCGUGCGGGAUGACGGCCUUCGGGUUGUAAACCGCUUUCGCCUGUGACGAAGCGUGAGUGACGGUAAUGGGUAAAGAAGCACCGGCUAACUACGUG
rnacentral:rRNA from 1 species